GGUGGCUCAGUGGUACAGCACUUGCCUUCCAUGCAUGAGGCCCUGGGUUCGAUUCCUCAGCACCA
rnacentral:tRNA from 1 species